ensembl:lncRNA
UUUUUUUUCCUUUUCACAAGUAGUCAUUCACCUAUUUUAUUUUAGAUCAUCGGAUCCAAGUUCUGCACCAGAAGCAUAUGAUGCAUGAACAUAAACUUUCAGAAAAACAAGAUGAAGUGUUAAGCACACCCAUGACUAUGACAGACGUAAAAGUUUCAGGGCCAUCUGUAAAAACACAGUUAUUACCAAGUGGAGUGCACAUUGAUGUGCAAGAGAUGCGAUCUUCUAACAGUGUGACAACAGAAGCAGCUCAGGUUUCUAAGAGUUCUUCAAUGCUGAUUAUUAACAAGCUGCAGAAGAUUUUCCCAAAUAUACUUUUGGACACUCAGACAAAAUAUAAGGAAGUGGAUAAUGAAAAAAAAGAAGACGGUAAAAAGAAAAGGAUGUUGUUUCCUGAUUUGGAGCAAGAUAAAAAUACUGGUAAUAACAAAGACAGAUUAACAAGAACUAAUAUUACUAUAAGAUUCCAUUCCAAUGAUAAUUCAAGCCAAACUCAGAUUGAUAUUUACAAUUUAAAAAAUUCAAGAGCGAAUCCUGAGGUGCAUAUUGUCGCCAGCAAUAUUAUUGACCAACAAAAUAAAAUAAAUUCAGUAGUAGUACAAGAUGAUGUUUUGCAAGUGACAGUAAACAGUUCGCUGGAUAAGAAAAUACAGAAUAAUACAAAAGUAAGAGAAAAAAGUCUUGCAAAAAUUGAGGCUGGAAAUAUGGAAAGAAACUCCACAGGUAGCAACAGGAAAAAACUUCUUAUAGCAGAUCUGCCUGAGUCUGCUACUUAUCCACAUCGUCAGUUGAACCGUAUUUUACAGACGCUGGAAGAUCACAUGGGUGUUCAAACAUAUAAUUUCCAAGGUGUAAAAGAAAACCAAUCUCAAGUGUCAGUGAGAAUGCUGAAGAAUGUAUUACAGGACUUACAGAAAGAAUAUAAGAAGUCAGAAUCCAGUGAAAAGGAAAACAAGGCACAGACACCUUUUGAGGGACAAAGUCGCAGUCUACAAGUCUCAGAUGAAAAUAUAGACCAAUUUAAAGUAACACUUGUGCCAGAGCCUACAAGUGUCACAACAAAGGCAAACAUGAAAGAUGCCAAACGAUUUGAAUUUUUUAAAGAGCAUGAAGGGAACCAGUAAUAACUAAUACUUACAACAUUUACAAAAGAGAAAACCCAACAAAAGAUGAAGCCAAAUCAAUCACAGAAAUAGACUGCAAAGAACUGAAAAAAGACGUUGCUGUAGUGAAAAAUCAGUCUGAACAUAGUAACCUGAAUCAACUACCACUGCACUUAUCAACAGACAAAUCUAAAGAAAAUGGUCAAGACUUAGAACAUUCAGAAAAACAACCAGACCAUAAUACUUCCUCCAUUAACUCUCCAUCAAAAAGGAUUGAUGAAAGAAAUAUAAUUCUGUCAACAUCAACUGAACCUUUAGAGUGUAACCACUCUUCACAAAUGCCCCCUGACAAUUGUUCAUCUUCAGAAAUGAAAACAUGCAAGAACCACAGAACUAGACCUAGAACUUUAAAAACAAAUCAAUCUUGUUGUCACAAACCAAGACAACAUUGUACAGAACCAAAAGAACAUGGUUAUAAAAGACUACAGGAUAAAGAUACCGCUCUUCACAGAAAGCAUUUAAACCAUCAAAGAUCAUCUAGGCAUGACAGACAUAGAUCAAAGUCCACAAAAUGUAAUACAAGUCAUUCAAACUGUUCACUUCUAGAUGGAUGUUGUCAUGACUCAAGUCCUAGUGAUGAUUCUUCAUCAGAUGUAUUCAUUUCUUCAGAUACAACUGCAAAAACACAUCUAUCAGAAAUAUCCCAACAUGAUGGUUCAAAGUGUACAUAUUCUCAGCACAGAAUGGGUUCUUGUAGCUCUGAUUCAUAUUCUGAUUAGAACAUUAGUAGCACUCAAAGGAGUAAACAUUAUCAUUCUGCAUGAUCAGUGAUAUCCAUCAGCAUGUAGUACCAAUCAUUUUACCACGUGUGAUCAUGAUAGUCCUGGGUGUUAUGGAGGUUGUUUUCUUUUGUAAUCAUGCUAAUAAAUAAAUAUUUUUAUAUUAGGCUUCUGUACUU